CGCUUCUUAGCUUCCGGCAGGGAAAUCCUCAUCUUAUCCACCUUAUACAAUAAAAGUGUGCUUAAAGUCGUGUCUGCAUAUCUCAUUGUAUCAUCUAACACUCCUUCUAAAUAGCACAUACUUAGCUUCUCCCAACUAUGAUAUAAUACUCACAGAAUGACUUCCUUUUCCUCCAAUUGACAACAAACUUUAGCCACAGCGAUUUGUCAAUGAAUUUGUAUCAGAGGGAAUUCCGUCGAAACCAACAGAAUAGUAAGGGAAAAGUUUUUACUUGACCGAUAAACCACUGACCUACUUUGGCCCCCUCGCCCAGUUAUUCAGCUAUUUUGCCUGAAACCACUUGCCGAGCGUGAUAUAGAUUAGAUUGUAAAAUGUCUGAAAUAAAAUGAUUAUCAAAAUUCAUGAAAUAGAA